GGCCGCCGUCCCCCUGGACGUGUUCACCAGGUAAGCCUCACCUGGCCGCCGUCCCCCUGGACGUGUUCACCAGGUAAGCCUCACCUGGCCGGCCGGGGGGCCGUCCCCCUGGACGUGUUCACCAGGUAAGCCUCACCUGGCCGGCCGGGGGGCCGUCCCCCUGGACGUGUUCACCAGGUAAGCCUCACCUGGCCGAUCGGGGGGGCGUCCCCCUGGACGUGUUCACC